UCCCUGGUGGUCCAGCAGUUAAGACUCUGAACUUCCAUGGCAGAGAGCAUGGGUUCAAUCCCUAGUCAGGGAA
rnacentral:tRNA from 1 species